GCAUGGUGUAAUGGUUAGCAUGUCGGACUAAGACCUGGGAAACCAGGGUUCAAAUCCCUGCCCAGCA